GCUGCUGAGCGCCGAGCAGAACCACCUGCUGCACCUGGUGCUGCAGGAGAUGCUGAGCCCCGCCGGGCAGGGGCUGUGAGCGGCGGCGGCGGGACGGGGCCCGGGGGGGUGCGGGGCGGCCUCCGGUGCCGGUCGUCGCUGCGCCUUCCGUGCCCGGGGCGGGCGAGCGGCCGCGUCCCUCUUCUGCGCCUCCGCCGGGGGGGAAGGGCCCGCCGUUGGCAGCGGGGGCGGCGGUGCUGGAGCGGCCCCAGAGCCCCGUCGGAGGCAGAGCCCGGGUGUGCCGUGGGGAGCCGGCGUUGGGCACCCGGGAAGCACCUGCGAUGGAGUUGCCUUUAAAUAAACAAGGGCACGAACACGAGACGCUGAUUUCCCUCCUGCCGACAAAAGCCACUGCAGCCAAGGCGAGGCCGGGCCUUUGGCUCUUGGGGCAGAGAAAAGGAGCUGGUCGCUGGCUCUCAAGGGGUCGCCUGGGGACCAGCGGGGGUGGCCUGACUGCGUUUGUGUAGAAGAGCUGGAAACCUGGAGGACUGAGAGUGAGAGGUGGCAGAUCCCCUACAGUCAGGGGAACGAGGAGGAAACUGGUGGAGAAGGAUGAGUUCUUGGCAUGGACUGUUUGCUCGGUUCUCCUCAGCUGCUGUUCCUCUCUGCUGCUGGGCACUUGGGCUUGUUGGGCCCGUUCCCAGGAGCGAGGUGGAGAAGGCCAGUCUUCAGAGCAGAGGGGAAAUGAACCCGCUGCCCUGGGUGCAUCCAGCUGUUGCCCACAGGCCGAGCCACAUCUCUGCAGGGUUGGGAUGGACUCUCCAGAAGGAAAUGCCUUAUUGCGGAAGCCAGAGAGGCCCUGGUGGUCCCCCCCUAAUUGUGGCUGUGGUAUAAACGAAGAGACGUUGCAAUAGAGCCAGCUGAUGGGAGAAGAAAGAAACGCUGGCAGCAAAGACCCUGCAGGGACCCCGGAGAAGGCUGAGGCUUUGGGAGAGAGAGAUCCCGUUUGCAGCCCUGGAGAGAAGCCGGAGGCAAGAGCUUCCCCACUGAAACAACUGGGGACUUGGGAGUUUUCCCAGCUGGAAUGCCAACAUUCCUUUCUGGAAUCUUUUAAGAGGAGUUUGUUCUCACACAAGUUUUUCAUGCGUGAAGGAAAAAUAAAGAUCCAUGCCUUGAAA